rnacentral:misc_RNA from 1 species
GAUCUGGAUAUCCAUUUCCAUUCUCAUUCCAUUUGCAAAACGGACUAAAACAUGCCCUAAAACUUAGAAAUGAUUCUGCAAUAAGUUUGGCAAGAAAGUUGGACAAUGAUAAUUCAACCUCUUGGGAACAAAUAGCUUCUUUAUGGUUUUUGUCUUGGGGCUUUCAAAACAAUGUUCCCAACUGAUACCCAAUUUGAGGGCUUUUGUUUGUCCAAUUUUUCCUUCUCUCUUUCGUUACAUGUCCUAAUUAAAAGUAUUCCCUCUUCUCUUAUUAAUAC